GGCGCGGUAGCUCAGGGGUUAGAGCGGGCGUUUCAUAAGCGUCAGGUCGGAGGUUCGAGACCUCCCCGCGCCA
rnacentral:tRNA from 1 species